CGGCUGGGGAGCCGGCUCCGCGCGCGGGGGCGUCCCUGCCCCCUCCGCCUGCGCCACCUCUGCCGGCUUCUCCCGGCAAGUUUGUCGCCCCCGCUUUGCGGACCUCCUCGGAGGAGCCAGACCUGUGGCCAAAUAGAAAACUCGAGCUGGAGGCGGAGGAGGCGGAGGAGGCGUGUGGGAAGCCGGUCCGGGAUGAGAGUCUGUUGAAGGGCAGUGCUGGCUUCUUGGACAUCUUCCUUGGCUCUUUCCCACCCAGGUACCCUGAAGAUGUGUUGGGUUGGAAUGGAAACAUUAAUACCCAAACCCCUGCUGCUGCUCAGAAAAUGACGUGCGCACAGCGAUAGGUUUCUACACCUGGAUUGUCAACUAGGGCAAAUUGUCACCAAUGGCAGUAAAACUUGUUUUCUGGGGGUCAAGGUCUCAUGGGCUAAUUGGCUCUCGUUCAGCUGUGAACCUGACAGAUAAGUCAUCCUGCUGUGUAUCAAGACAAUGCCCAGUUUCAAAACUGCUCUGAAGAUGAUGAAGGCAGGAUCGCCCAGUGAUGCUGUCAGGGGCCAACAAGCGGCUUGAGGAUCCCCUGUUCACCAGGUAGCAGCUUGAAGGAAGCCCCUUCCCAUUAAGGAGAACUGCAUGGCAGGCAGCCCCCACUGAAGGCUGGAAAAUGAGUGUCCCAGCGGCUCCUAAGAAAUCAUGUUACCCUGAGUUACGGGACCAGAGAAAUGGAGUGAAAAACAGUAACGAGAGCGUCCUACGUCUGGGAGACACCAACGCCAACCCCAUCAUGUUGGAGGUCAGCCCCUCUCCUGGUGAGCCUGUGACAUGUGCCCUGACAGAUGAAAUUGGAAAUGCAAAUUCAAGGGGGCCAGAAAGUAGUACCCGUGUCCAGAAGGAGUUUCACCCCCUUCAGGGCUUUUCGAAGGCAUCUCAGGCUGGCCCUGCCAGCCUGAAGGAUUUUAAGUUUUCUCCGAUGGCUCAGAGAGAACGGAAUGAAGAGCCCAUGCUGGAGAGAGGCACAGGUCCCCUGCAGGCCCCUCGGGGUCUUCAGGGACAAGGUCAGCCAAGUUGGAGGACUGUCACAGGUGAGGCCGGCCCAGAGGUUUCGGCUCAGAGGGAGGUUGACGUUCCCUGGCGUGUUCCCAAGGAUAAGUUGGCCAAGACCCUUGACAAUGAGGAACUGAGGAGGCAUUCUUUGGAGAGAGCCGGCAGCUCUGCCGUAGCGGUGGGCAUGCUUACCAAGGAGUGGGCUGGGGGCCUGGCCUGGCCGCUUCCACAGCCCGCAGUGUUGGGGUCCCCAGCAGCCCCCCGUCCGGUACCCAGUGGCGGGGUGGGGCCGCAGAAGACGGGGGCAGCCCCUUCUCCAGGGCUGGCUUGUCUUCCAGCUGAUGGUACCUCAGAGGGAAAGAGCUCACAUCAUCCUAAACCAUCUACCUCAGUAAUCAAGGAGACCACCCCCUUAGAGACCCAGCUGGAUGGGGGACAGGUACCCAACGUUAGCACCCAGAGCACAGAGCCUUCCGCCCACCCGGAGUGCGCUCCCAGUUCCUCUCCAGCCUCGAAAGACGCCCUGAGGAAGCCAGAAGCACAGUCAGGUGAGGGAAAGCCCGAGCCCAAGGUGGAGCUGAAACUUGUCCCGCUCAGGGCCCUGCAGGAGUUCAAGUCCACCCCGGCGGAGGGGCUGGGGUGUCCUCAGGAGGACGGCGUGUCACCCCUAGGGAGAAAGGAGCCGUGUACAGAGGAGGCACAGCAAGAAGCCUCGGCCGCUGCACGCAGCGGCCCCCAGCCGCCGGGUGUGGGAAGAGGCAGGGGCGAGCGGGAAAAGAGAGGUGAGGAGGGGUCUCUGCAGACCACGCCCAAGCCGGGCCCCGCUUCCUCGGGAGCUGCUGAGCGUCCGCCCACGGGCAGAAGUUCACCAGGCGCAGCUAGGAGACCGGGUGAAACCCCAUCCAGCAGCGUUUCACCCAGGGAGGGUCACGUCGCUUUUGUUCCUGGUGAUUCGACUGACAGCAGGCCCUCGGGUGCCAGUGAGGAGAGAGGGGUCCUGGGCGGUGGGAACGGGGACGGCGCUACGGUUUUUAAUUCAGAUGGUUCUGUUGGAGAGAGCGGAACUGGGGUCCCCGAGCCCGCCGACCCUCCAAGCAGCAGCUCAGAAGCUGGGGAAAGCACAGAGAUCGCUACAUCCGUGGCUGAGACUAGGAACCGUCUAGAGACUGCAGCGAAGACUGAAAGCACCCCCCAAGCAAGAGCAGAUUCUCUUCCCGGAGUCCCAGCGCCCCUCCACCCAGAGACAACUGUGAAUGUGGCCCGCCAGCCCGUGCAACCCAGCAGCCGUUUUCCGGACUUGGGCGCCUUGAAUGUGGACGCGGGGGUCCCCCCGGCCACCCCGCCUUCUGCCAACAGCUCCAGGUUGUCACACGCUUCCCUGAAAGUGCCUGACAAGAACCCCUGCCCUGGUGGGAUCCCCAAGCCUGGCCUCACCCGUCCCGAGGACACACCCGCCUCACAGGAGGGAACAGAGGGCCCCCAGGUUGAAAAGACAGAAGAAAGGGUGGAUCCCCGGCCCAUCGUUAUGCCCAAGCCCAAGCACGUGAGGCCCAAGAUCAUCACCUACAUCCGGAGGAGCCCUCAGGCCCUCGGCCAGGUGGACGCGUCUCUGGUUCCCGUGGGGCUACCUUAUGCCCCGCCCCCGUGUAACGUGCCUCUCCCCAAAGAGGAGAAGGCGGCAGGUGGAGACCUGAAGCCGGCCGCCAGCCUCUACGACAAGUUCAAGCCAGACCUGCAGAGGCCCCGCGUGUUCAGCUCCGGACUCGUGGUGUCUGGGAUCAAGCCCCCGGGACACCCCUUCAGUCAAAUGAGUGAAAAGUUUUUACAGGAGGUUACAGAAUGCCCUGGAAAAGAAGAAUUUUGUCCUCCUCCCUAUACUCACUACGAAGUUCCUCCAACUUUCUAUCGAUCGGCCAUGCUCCUUAAGCCCCAGCUGGGAUUGGGUGCAAUGUCACGUUUGCCAUCUGCCAGGAGUAGGAUCCUGAUCGCGAGCCAGAGGUCUUCAGCGAGCGCCAUUCACCCACCAGGAACCCUAGCGGCAGCUGCCAGCCUCUACAGCUCUGACCCUGCAGCAGAUUUAAAGAAACCUUCCAGUUCAAAUGCUGCAAAAUCCAACCUACCCAAAUCUGGACUUCGUCCUCCCGGCUACUCACGUCUCCCGGCGGCCAAGUUGGCGGCCUUUGGCUUCGUCCGGAGCUCCAGCGUGACCUCGGUGUCCAGCACCCAGCCAGUGGACAGCGCCCAGCCCGAGCCCGGCCGGCUGGCCAACCGUUCAACCUUUGGGACUGAAGACCAGCCGGCUCUGAAGGCAGCUCUGCCUUCCAAAGACACACCCAAAGGGGCUGCCCGGGUGGCCCCUCCAGCGUCCUCCAGUGUGACAACACCUCGCAGGAGUUUGCUUCCGGCGCCAAAAUCCACGACCACACCGGCCGGAACAAAGAAAGAAGUACAAAAAGAUCAAGAUGCUAAUAAACCUGCAGUUUCAUCUCCUAAGAGAACAGCAGCUUCAACCACCAAGCUUCAUUCGCCAGGAUACCCCAAGCAGAGGCCCACGGCCCCCCGCAACGGGGUCUCCCCCAAGCCGGACCCGCAGGCCCGAGAGGCCGAGCGGCAGCUGGUGCAGCGGCUGAAGGAGAGGUGCGACCAGCAGACGCGGCAGCUGGGCCUCGUGCAGGCGGAGCUGAGACGGGCCGUCCGGGGCUUCGAGGCGCUCGCCGUGUCCACUCAGCUCUUCUUUGGGAAGAAUGAAAGUGCCCUUGUGAAAGAAAAAGAGCUGUCAAUCGAACUUGCAAACAUCAGGGAUGAAGUUGCCUUCCAUGCGGCGAAGUGUGAGAAGCUGCAGCGGGAGAAGGCGGAGCUGGAGCGGCGCCGUGAGGACGAGGUGCGCAGGCGGGGCCGGCAGCAUCAGGCCGAGCUGCGCGACCUGGAACGGCGGCUGCAGCUGCAGUUCGAGACCGAGGCGGCCCAGCUCCAGGAGGAGCACCGCGCACAGCUGCUGCGGAUCGGGUGUCAGCACCAGGAGCAGGUGGAAGACAUCACCGCCAGCCAUGAGGCUGCUCUCCUAGAGAUGGAAAACAGCCACACGGUUGCCGUCUCGCUUCUGCAGGAUGACCACGACCACAGGGUGCAAGAACUGAUAUCUACCCACGAGCUUGAAAAGAAAGAAUUGGAAGAAAAUUUUGAAAAGCUGCGGCUGUCAUUACAGGACCAGGUGGACACGCUGACCUUCCAGAGCCAGUCUCUGCGGGACCGAGCCAGACGCUUCGAGGAAGCUUUGAGGAAAAACACUGAGGAGCAGCUGGAGAUUGCAUUGGCGCCUUAUCAGCACUUGGAAGAAGACAUGAAGAGUCUGAAGCAGGUAUUAGAGAUGAAGAAUCAGCAAAUACACCAGCAGGAAAAGAAGAUUAUUGAGCUGGAAAAGCUGGCAGAAAAGAACAUUAUCCUGGAAGAAAAGAUCCAGGUUCUCCAACAGCAGAAUGAAGACCUCAAAGCCAGGAUCGACCAGAACACCGUUGUCACGAGACAGCUGUCAGAGGAGAAUGCCAACCUCCAGGAGUACGUGGAGAAAGAAACGCAGGAGAAGAAGAGAUUGAGCCGAACCAACGAAGAGCUGCUUUGGAAGCUGCAAACAGGGGACCCAACCAGCCCGAUUAAACUGUCCCCCACGUCCCCCGUUCACCGAGGCUCCUCCUCCGGGCCCUCCUCUCCCGCCAGAGUCAGCAUGACGCCCAGAUGACGCCACCACGCUGCGGGUCCAGCUGCGGCGCCUGGUCCACGAGGGUUUCCGCCUCGAGGGAGUGGUGACCAGGGACCGGCCCGACUGACCCUGCGCGCGUGCCCAGUAGCUGCAUAGCUGCACCCUAGACAGAGUCCUUUUCUGAUCCUCGUGUAAGACUGUCCUGGUACUGGCACUUAGGAAAGUGUAAAUGGUAGUGUCUGAUGUGCAAACGUUUGACCGUAGUUAGAGCCAAAAGAAAGAAACGCCAAUCGUUCUUGAGCAAUGAACUUUCACUGCAGAAUAUCAGGUUAGUUACAAAUAGCUCAGUUUUGAAUAUCCAUUGAAUAAUCAUUGUGUACUGCACCGAUAUGUGUGUGUAUUUAGAUAUACGUAUAUACACAUGCAGCGGUUCUGAAUUGCAUUUUUUAUAACAUGAAGCGCUGACAUAUUUUGGUGAAGGUCAGCAGUUUUCUAACUCGUGCCUAAGAAUUAUUGGGAAAUGAAAAUGCAUUUCUAUCUACCUUCCCAGGAAUAUUUCUACCCAAAAUAGAAAAAGGAAAAAAAAAAAAAGAUACAGAGAAGAAGCGCCUUCCGACCUACCACCACGUGGUACUCUGUUUAACACAAACACCAGCCAUUCAUGAACGGUAACUGCCUUUGGAACAAUCAGCUUCUUAGUCCACAUAAUGUGAGGUCACUAUUACUCCAUCCGCAAGUUUUAAUUAUUAAUACUUCUGUCAUGAGCAGAUAAGGGGCAGCAGUGGGAAACCCUGAGGGGGUGAGGAGUUUUGCACAUGUCACUCAUGACAGUGGAUCAUCUAUAGUCUUGUAAACACAAGUUCUGCUUUUUUUUCCUAAAUGGCAUCUUGGAAUCCAUCAUUAAGCUCUUUCAUCUUCGGGAAAAUAUGGAAGCACAUGACCUUAUAGGAUGAGGGUGAGAGUGACCUUGGAGUUGGCCAAGACCAUUCACGCUCCGUCCUCAAGAAGGAAGACUGCUAAUAGGGUCUGUGUUCUGACUAAGCGUAGAGUAGGAAAGCAUACUCUGGCAUCCUAUUUGCUUUACUCUGAUGUGAUGCUGAAAAUGGUCAACUCACCAAAAUAUAACCCUCAGCCCCACUUCAUUGGCACCCCCCUUCGGUUUGGUUCUGUAACCCAACCUCAUUCCUGUACAUUGAGAAGCUCAGGGGUUCUAGCAGGGGCUUCCAGAAAACCAAUUCUUCUAUCCUGGGGGAUCAGUUCCAAGCUGUGCUAGAUUAUCACAUGACCUCCCAGAAACCCAGGUGUAUUUUCUGCUGGAUGAUCGAGCAGUGCCACAGCUGACAGAGGUCCCAUCUUUGGUCCAGGAGGUGCUUCCAAACAGAGGAAGGAGCCCGGGAAACAACCAGCCAGCGGUGGCUGGCUUCUGGACUGGCAUUUGACUCUGAAAUGGUAGAAUUAGAACCUGAGAGGUAUUCCUGUAGUGCCGUGGACGAUUAGAAGCAAGACACACAAAAGAAAGAAGCGGUUUCAACAGUUGGUAUGGUGAUGAUAGUGAUGCCUUUGUUCGCUGUUUGUGACAAAGACCCUGCACUUUCCUCCCUAAGGCCCCUCAAAAUGGUCCUGAGGACUGGCUCUGAGCAUCCCCGAGGCAGGCGGACUCAUGUAGGGAUGCUUCGUGGGCCAGAGCCACAGAGCAGGGAAGACACGGCCCACGGAAGGGGUUGGCUGGCCCAGGGCCCUGCCUGCUCUGUGAAUACGUGGCCGGCGUAAAGACAGACCUGGUCUGUGUCCCUUGCGUGAGUCAAGGUUGGGUUUCCUGGCCUCAUGUACAUCUCAUUUCUAGCAAACCGCCAGGUGUUUGCUCAUCCUGGGGACGUACACAGGAGUAUCCACUGAAGAAACAUUUUUUUCCUUUAGUGGCUCUGCAUGAUGCUGUGAUGUUGAUUUGGGCCUCCCGUUAGAGUAGAUCAUGCCACGUUGACUAAAUACACAAGUAUUUAUUCUUUUAGCAGGCACCACCUGCAGACACAAUAGCUCAGCCCUCCGAAUUAGGAACUGCUUCCCUAACGGCACUUGCUAAAUGCAGUUACACAGCAAUACAGAUAUCAGUGUUAUGUUAGAAUGUGGUCCAGUGUGUUAGCCUGUUGCAGUCAAGAGUUGUAGUGGUGUUAGAGUGAAGUCAUCCCUCACUAGGCGACUAGAGCUUGGCUCUAACCAGCCCUGACCUUGGGUACUUGAGCUAAUUCCCACCUUGCCCUGGCUUCAUUUCCCCGUCAUGGACGCCCAUCAUAUAUGGCUCCUAGCCCAGAACACGAGGGGCAGCGGCCACCGGGCCCCUUCUGCGCCUCUCCAGCCCCACACUGUUAGGACUUGGACCUCUGUCUCCCUGGCGUCCACCUCCCAGGCCAGAGCUGCUGCCACGCGGAGAUGCCGCAGCCUCCCCGCCUGCCGCUCACAGACCCGCCGAACCGCACCAACCUCUUCCUGCACAGCCGCUUAACAGAGGGGCGCUGGCGCCCGGCCCACGGCCCACGGAGGAAACCAGGGUGGAGAGGCCUCGCACCCGUGGAGAGCUGUGUCCCCCUGUACGUGUGUCCUGCCGUGGCAGAGAGGCUUUUGAAGUCAGCCGCUCGGUCCCCGACGCUGGAAGGAGUGAGGAGAGCGAAGCUCAGGUAGAAGCCGGGGGGCAGGGCGUCCCACCCGCUGCUGGAGGCUGUUCUCACUCCGUGGCUGCAUCCGGGAACAGGCCCCCAGCAGUGGCCCGCGGGGCACCCUCGCAUCGCAUCCCUGCAUCCCUCUAGGCAAGAGGCGGGGUCCUGCCCGCUGGGGAGUUUGGGUCAAAUGCUCGAAAAAAUCACCACCACCAUCACAGGCUAGAGCUCAUUCGCUUAAGUUUGCUAAAUAUCUUUUUUUUUUUUUUUUUUUUGAACCUGUCUGCUUCUCUCAGACCUCUUUAAAAACGAAAGCAGGACACCUCGGGUUUCUUGAACGCCCAGCUCUGUUCCUUCCCCCUCUGGGGGACAUGCAGGCGACUUUGCCUCCCUCACCAAGUCUGGGCGAGUUUUCCAGAGCCAGCACCACGCGGGAUGAAGCGCUGUGCAGCCUAAGCUGGGCGCUCCCGUCCCUGCAGGCCCCCCGGGUCCCUCCCCCCAGACAACCCAGGCAGGCUCAGCUGCUGCUGUCGGUUUCAACUGCACCCAGAUCCACGUAGCAGGGGCUGCGUUAGCAGACGCUCAACAAGUAACCGCACCGCUUCACGGAGUGAAAAUGUAAAGCGUCCGUGGGAAAGUCCGACCGCGCAGCUUCUCCCGGCUCCCGCACCUCAGUCCUGGGUGCCCGCGGAUCGCUGCUGAGAAGGAGGCCAGAGCUCACGUCAUCAGCGGACGUACCACCUGCUUCAUUCCCGAAGCCUCUCUCACAUCGCACUUUUUCUGGCCGUAUUGAUGGCUUGGUGGACAGGCUUAUACAGUAAAGCGAAACGAUGGCCCUUGGAAGAGCGGCGGACUGGGCUACCCCGGGUAGGUGUCCCCGCCCUCCCGGCCGUCUGGUGGCUGAACAGCAACCCGAGGAGUCCGUGAGAUUCCUCCCCGCUGCGGAGGCCGGGCUGUCCGGGGGCAGCUUCUGACUCACCAGACGCGUUUCAUCACCAAACUGUGCUCCAGGUGACUCCCCACCCACAGGCCCCCAUCAGGGUUUCCUAGGAAACUGCCCGGAAGCCUGGCGGGGGCGCUUCAGGCGCCCGCCCGCGCCGGCCGCUAGGUGGCAGUGUGGCGCCGCGGGACUGGCCGCUCGGGGAAGCCAGCCCGUCUACAAGUCCGGAUCUGGGCUCACGGGCGCCUGCCAGUUGUCACAGAUCGCCUUGUGGGAGGGGGCGGCUGAGGGCAGGAAGGGGCACCCUGCCUGCGUUCGUCCCUGCAGACCCCUGGGCGCGGAGGGAAAGCGUCCCCGCGGUCCAGGCCUGGUGGGUGGUUCACCGCGCGGCCGACGGAUGCCCCUCACAUUCCUGAUGCUGAGCGCGCGGGGCCGGCAGCCGCCCCCUGCUCUGCUCUCGGGCAGCAGACCUCCCAGCGUGAUCACGCGGGGCCUCAGGGUCUGGGAAUCAAGGCCCCCUUGACUGAGUGUGCCUCCUGUGGAAGAAAGCGCUUCCUUUCUCAAGGGGGGCGGGGGGUGGUGAGAGAUCAAGGAUUAUGAGAACAGCUACAACCCUCCCCAUCCCUUCCCGCUCCUGCGCGCACCCCACCCUCCAGAUGGGUGGCGGGCGUGUGGCCGGAAACGCAAGGCCGGUGUUCAAGGCAGAGGGGUUUGCUGCACUGACACCCAAGUGCUUCUGCAAACGAGCAGCGUCAGGCCCCGCAGACCCAUUGGCAGGAAGACCUCUGGGCCCAAACCCAAGCCAAGUCCGGAAAAGAGUGGGAGGUGGGGAGACGGCUUCAGAGGAUCCUAAAUGAGGGUCGAGGGGUUCCCUGGCCGAGGCGCUAAAGCCGGAAUGAGGAUUUCCACCAAACGGCUGAAGGAGAACGAGGCAACGCGACAUCCUUCCGGUUGUGGGGAAGCAGGCAGAUACUCAAGAAGCAAAGAGCAGGGUCUGAACUCCCUGCGGGGCACCCACCCCAGGGCCCCCCCUCCGCCCCCCGAGCUGCCGGAAUUCCUGAGAUCACACUGAGCACGCCCAGGCCAUAGACGGAAUUUAUUAGGAUUUGCGGAAGCAUGAGAGGAUGUACCACAAAAGAGCUUGACUUUACAACAUGAAGUACGGUAUCAAUGCAGUGUUGUCAGCAAAACUGGGAUACAGAGCAGAAGUUCACAUUUUUUAAAGGUGAUGGACGACAUCUACUCUUGUCCUUAAAAUAAAAACGGGGGGACCAGCAGAGGCCCAUCUGAUUUGCAGUUAGCGUCAGAAUCUAAAUCUAGUAUCACAGUUAUAAGAAACUAUAAGAAAACUAUUAGAAAAACAGAACAUCAAACAAGCAAAAAUAUUAUACAAUUUACAUAAUAAAAAACACACAAUUCUCUUAAUAAUGGCUCCACGUUCAGUAGAAGAAAAAGUGUACUGAAGAAACCACAGCUCUUCAGGUUUGAUUAGAAACCAACCCUCAAGAAGAUCAUCACCCUCUGUGCUCCUUAGACCCAUCAAGGCUGAAAGGCACAACGUAAGCAGGAAACUUAUCUUAAAUAUAUAACUUCUCCAAUGGGAAAAUAAGCCCCAAACUUAAAAAGUUUGUCAUCAAGAAACACAAAAUCAUAUACCUUGUUAAUAAUUUAACAAAGUCUGAAUGCAUCUUCCCAGCCCUCCUCCCUGACUCUGUUUGGAGAAAUCCCAUUUGGACUUCAAGCCAAGGUCUUUCAUCUCAUGGGGGUUUUCAGCAGUUCAACACAUUUACAGGGUGGGCCAGGGGGGCUCCGGAGAACUGCGCCCCGAGACCCUUGGCCAGUCCACGCCCCUCUUGAAAGAGCACUGUCACCCAGCGAAGCAACGGGCACAGACUGGGCCAUAGUGAUGAACAGGAAGGUCAGUUGACUUUUGUUUUCUGCCUUAACCUCCCAUUAGGUAUUGUAACUACGAUGAUGAGAUACAGAAUGUAUGUAGCUUCUUGCACCACUGGACCAAUAAAGCAUUU